GCUGAUAUUAAAAAGUGAUGCCAGCAUAGUGACAGUACCUGUAGUCCCAGCUACUUGGGAGGCUGAGGCAGGAGGAU
rnacentral:miRNA from 10 species